AGGUUCCACUCCAGGUGAGCACUGCAGAGUAGCCAUAGAAAUUAGCACACAAUACAGAAAUAAAAUUUUUUAAAAAUUAAAGAAUUGGCCAGAAAUAAAUGUACCUGUACACCAACACAAAAUAUGCAGUAGUAGCAAACAAACAAUCAGAGAGACAGAUACUUGCUGGAAACAAGGUCAAAGAACAUUCAAUACCAGUCAUAUUACAUACUAUAUGUUAUCAAUCCAAGUCCAAGGAAAUUGCUUCCAGGAUAGAAACAAAUGAUUUGAAAAAGGAAAAUCUAUGUUGUGAGCGAGGAUAUUGUCCAAUUUGGAUAAUUUUCACUGGAAGCAAAUUAUGGAGCAAACAGAAAAAAAAUUAAAUGGGUUGUCUUACAGAACUACAAUUAUAUCAUCCAGAAGUUGUGUAUAAGCAAGUGAAACUAAAAGUUCAGACUUCAGACCAGUGUUUAUGUAAUAAAUGCAGUGAGACAGAGAUAUAGAAAGAGAGAUUUCCUUUAUAAAUACAAAUGCAACUCUCCUCAUAAUAACUUAACCAAUCAACUAAUCGAUGCAAUCAUUAGUGGAGAAUGUUAUUAAUAAUAUCGCAGUUUCAAAUAUUAAUCACUAGUAUGCUUGAAAUGCCUCAAUCAAAACAUUAUAGUUUAAGAUCAUUAUAGUAAUUAUUUUCAGGAAUGCCAACAGAUUCA
rnacentral:misc_RNA from 1 species